rnacentral:rRNA from 1 species
CACAUGCAGUCGAACGAUGAAGCCCAGCUUGCUGGGUGGAUUAGUGGCGAACGGGUGAGUAACACGUGAGUAACCUGCCCUUAACUCUGGGAUAAGCCUGGGAAACUGGGUCUAAUACCGGAUAGGAGCGUCCACCGCAUGGUGGGUGUUGGAAAGAUUUAUCGGUUUUGGAUGGACUCGCGGCCUAUCAGCUUGUUGGUGAGGUAAUGGCUCACCAAGGCGACGACGGGUAGCCGGCCUGAGAGGGUGACCGGCCACACUGGGACUGAGACACGGCCCAGACUCCUACGGGAGGCAGCAGUGGGGAAUAUUGCACAAUGGGCGCAAGCCUGAUGCAGCGACGCCGCGUGAGGGAUGACGGCCUUCGGGUUGUAAACCUCUUUCAGUAGGGAAGAAGCGAAAGUGACGGUACCUGCAGAAGAAGCACCGGCUAACUACGUGCCAGCAGCCGCGGUAAUACGUAGGGUGCGAGCGUUAUCCGGAAUUAUUGGGCGUAAAGAGCUCGUAGGCGGUUUGUCGCGUCUGUCGUGAAAGUCCGGGGCUUAACCCCGGAUCUGCGGGUGGGUACGGGCAGACUAGAGUGCAGUAGGGGAGACUGGAAUUCCUGGUGUAGCGGUGGAAUGCGCAGAUAUCAGGAGGAACACCGAUGGCGAAGGCAGGUCUCUGGGCUGUAACUGACGCUGAGGAGCGAAAGCAUGGGGAGCGAACAGGAUUAGAUACCCUGGUAGUCCAUGCCGUAAACGUUGGGCACUAGGUGUGGGGACCAUUCCACGGUUUCCGCGCCGCAGCUAACGCAUUAAGUGCCCCGCCUGGGGAGUACGGCCGCAAGGCUAAAACUCAAAGGAAUUGACGGGGGCCCGCACAAGCGGCGGAGCAUGCGGAUUAAUUCGAUGCAACGCGAAGAACCUUACCAAGGCUUGACAUGUUCUCGAUCGCCGUAGAGAUACGGUUUCCCCUUUGGGGCGGGUUCACAGGUGGUGCAUGGUUGUCGUCAGCUCGUGUCGUGAGAUGUUGGGUUAAGUCCCGCAACGAGCGCAACCCUCGUUCCAUGUUGCCAGCACGUAAUGGUGGGGACUCAUGGGAGACUGCCGGGGUCAACUCGGAGGAAGGUGAGGACGACGUCAAAUCAUCAUGCCCCUUAUGUCUUGGGCUUCACGCAUGCUACAAUGGCCGGUACAAUGGGUUGCGAUACUGUGAGGUGGAGCUAAUCCCAAAAAGCCGGUCUCAGUUCGGAUUGGGGUCUGCAACUCGACCCCAUGAAGUCGGAGUCGCUAGUAAUCGCAGAUCAGC